CAUUUCCAUCUGUCCCUGUAGUGAGGCAGACUGGCCUCCCAUGGACCUGGAGGGGGAGGAGCCCCUCACUGAGCCCUGGUGGGAGGAGCCAGGCUGUGCUCACCCCUCCCACCAGAAGUCUGUGGGCAGGACAGGAAGUAGAAAAGGCAGGUCUGGGAGCUCAGUUGGGUUGCAGCGGCUGGAGGAGCUAGACAUUAUCUGCUUGCUCCUGAGCUGGGAGACUGCUGCAGGCUCCAGGGGAGCUGAGGACUGGCCAGAGCCACCGGAACCAUAUGCUGACCUGACCUGACCUGACCUUGGAGGAGUUGCCAGGGCUACCACAGGCCUUCUACCCUGGAGAACUCUCUGCAGACCCAGCAAUAAAGGUGCCUCAGGCUGUCUGAUCCAAAACCAACCAUGUGGUCAAUUUUCCACAAUCCCAUGUGCUUGGGGCACUGUCUCUGCAAUGCUCUCAUUCCUUGCUGAUCUGGGUGCAAGUGAUCAAUUAUACCUCUCUAUGCAGACUCUCUCUCAUGCCACUUGGUGCAGAAGGGUGGUGGUUAUGGCUCCCUAAUUCCCAAGGUGCAUCUGUGCCAGCCCCAAUGGGCCAUACACCAACUGAGAGUUGGCACAGCAUAGUUAUACUCCAACACUGCCCCUUCCUUCCUUUGCAGAGCUGUUGUAGCCGUGUUGGUCCCAGGAUAUCAGAGACAAGAUGGGCAAGGUAAUAUCUUUUAUUGGACAAAUUACUGUUGCUGAAAGAGACAGCUUUGAGCUACACAGUUCUGAAGAAGAGCUUGUAUGAGCCUGAAAGCGUGUCUCUUUCAUCAACAGAAGUUGGUCCAAUAAAAGACGUUCUCACCAUCCUUCCUUUGACACCAUGGUAGUUGGGGGCAUAGUUAGUAUAGCAGUUAGAUCUGCUGGCUUUACACCAGCUGGGAUCUCUCCCAUGCUGGAGGAAUUCUCAGCUGGCCAGAACUAGUUACUUUCCAGUCACUUUGCACUAUUCAGAAACUCAAAUCUCGUGCAUGUUUAGCAAAAAAGUGCUUCCUCAGACACAAACAUGUUUUUUACUGUCAAUGUACAUGUGUGUUAUUAAUAAAUCUUAAUAGUUCAUUUAUUUGA